rnacentral:lncRNA from 1 species
UAUGAGAAUUCAAUACUUAUAGAGUUAUAACUGUCCUGAGGUGAAGGUCAAUGUGUGUGUUUGUUUGCAAGAUAGUUUAUGUUGUAAAUUUAUUAAUUAAUUUGCACCUAUUUUAUAGCCGUUCUGGACAUACACAUGGGCAGAAGAUGUAGCCGCCUUGUGUGAAAAUUUGAGAGCUCUCUACUCCAUCUUCCGCUAGUAUAACCCUCAUUGGCUGGAAUCAUAAUGGUAUCUGCAUCUGGAACUGGCCACUAGUAUAACACCUACAAAAUGCACAACGGCCUUCAGACCAUAUGAAAAGUCUACAGGGUGAGAAUCUGAAAAUCCAGCAAUGAGGAGAAAAAAGUUAUCUCCCAUUAAGAACACUUUCCAGAAGCUACACAAUUCCAGUUAUUGAUUCAUCCCAUUUACUAGAACCUGUUCAUCUGGCUAUGCCCAAAACCAAGGGAAACUGAAAUAGUGGUUACCAUAUUCUGUAACUCAGCCUAGCCUAGCUUCAGAAGUUUUAAU